rnacentral:rRNA from 1 species
AUACGGAGGAUCCGAGCGUUAUCCGGAUUUAUUGGGUUUAAAGGGAGCGUAGGUGGACAGUUAAGUCAGUUGUGAAAGUUUGCGGCUCAACCGUAAAAUUGCAGUUGAUACUGGCUGUCUUGAGUACAGUAGAGGUGGGCGGAAUUCGGGGUGUAGCGGUGAAAUGCUUAGAUAUCACGAAGAACUCCGAUUGCGAAGGCAGCUCACUGGACUGCAACUGACACUGAUGCUCGAAAGUGUGGGUAUCAAACAGGAUUAGAUACCCUGGUAGUCCACACAGUAAACGAUGAAUACUCGCUGUUUGCGAUAUACAGUAAGCGGCCAAGCGAAAGCAUUAAGUAUUCCACCUGGGGAGUACGCCGGCAACGGUGAAACUCAAAUGAAUUGACGGGG